UGCAAGUCGAGCGGACAGAUGGGAGCUUGCUCCCUGAUGUUAGCGGCGGACGGGUGAGUAACACGUGGGUAACCUGCCUGUAAGACUGGGAUAACUCCGGGAAACCGGGGCUAAUACCGGAUGGUUGUUUGAACCGCAUGGUUCAAACAUAAAAGGUGGCUUCGGCUACCACUUACAGAUGGACCCGCGGCGCAUUAGCUAGUUGGUGAGGUAACGGCUCACCAAGGCGACGAUGCGUAGCCGACCUGAGAGGGUGAUCGGCCACACUGGGACUGAGACACGGCCCAGACUCCUACGGGAGGCAGCAGUAGGGAAUCUUCCGCAAUGGACGAAAGUCUGACGGAGCAACGCCGCGUGAGUGAUGAAGGUUUUCGGAUCGUAAAGCUCUGUUGUUAGGGAAGAACAAGUACCGUUCGAAUAGGGCGGUACCUUGACGGUACCUAACCAGAAAGCCACGGCUAACUACGUGCCAGCAGCCGCGGUAAUACGUAGGUGGCAAGCGUUGUCCGGAAUUAUUGGGCGUAAAGGGCUCGCAGGCGGUUUCUUAAGUCUGAUGUGAAAGCCCCCGGCUCAACCGGGGAGGGUCAUUGGAAACUGGGGAACUUGAGUGCAGAAGAGGAGAGUGGAAUUCCACGUGUAGCGGUGAAAUGCGUAGAGAUGUGGAGGAACACCAGUGGCGAAGGCGACUCUCUGGUCUGUAACUGACGCUGAGGAGCGAAAGCGUGGGGAGCGAACAGGAUUAGAUACCCUGGUAGUCCACGCCGUAAACGAUGAGUGCUAAGUGUUAGGGGGUUUCUCGCCCCUUAGUGCUGCAGCUAACGCAUUAAGCACUCCGCCUGGGGAG
rnacentral:rRNA from 1 species